AUGUCCAUUCCCGGGUCCAGCUUCAACAGUCUGGGCCUGAUCUGAAGAAGCCUGGGACCUCAGUAAAGCUCUCUUGCAAGACUUCUGGCUAUACCUUCACCAGCUACACUAUACAUUGGGUGAAGCAAAAGCCUGGACAAGGGCUAGAGUGGAUAGGAUGGAUCUACCCUGGCAAUGACAACACAGGGUAUGCACAGAAGUUCAAGGGCAGGGUCUCAAUGACCAGUGAUACAUCAUCCAGGACAGCCUUCAUGGAGCUCAGCAGCCUGAUAUCUGAAGACUCAGCUGUUUAUUACUGUGCUAGACACAGCGUGGCAACCCACAUCCUGAGUGUGUCACAAAUCCUGAAGGAGCAGGAAGCAGCGUGA